GUACUUGCUUCAGCAGCACAUUACUAAAAUUGGAAGGAUACAGAGAUUAGCAUGGCCCCUGUGCAAGGAUGACAUGGAAAUCCAUAAAGCAUUUUAUAUUUAA
ensembl:snRNA U6 U6 spliceosomal RNA